UACGUAGGGGGCAAGCGUUGUCCGGAAUUAUUGGGCGUAAAGAGCGCGUAGGCGGUCCGAUAAGUCGGCUGUGAAAGUCAGGGGCUCAACCCUUGAAAGCCGGCCGAUACUGUCGGACUAGAGUCCGGAAGAGGCAAGUGGAAUUCCCGGUGAGCGGUGAAAUGCGCAGAUAUCGGGAGGAACACCAGUGGCGAAGGCGGGCUCACCUGGCCCGGUACU
rnacentral:rRNA from 1 species